CGCCGGCGUGGAUGGUGAAGUGGCAGUUCUCCCGCUUCAGGUGCUGGAAGGCGGCCAGGUGGCGGGUCGGCGGGUUGCCGAUCUCGCCGCCGGCGA
rnacentral:tRNA from 1 species